GAUGAACGCUGGCGGCGUGCCUAAUACGUGCAAGUCGAGCGAACGGACGAGAAGCUUGCUUCUCUGAUGUUAGCGGCGGACGGGUGAGUAACACGUGGAUAACCUACCUAUAAGACUGGGAUAACUUCGGGAAACCGGAGCUAAUACCGGAUGAUAUUUUGAACCGCAUGGUUCAAAAGUGAAAGACGGUCUUGCUGUCACUUAUAGAUGGAUCCGCGCUGCAUUAGCUAGUUGGUAAGGUAACGGCUUACCAAGGCAACGAUGCAUAGCCGACCUGAGAGGGUGAUCGGCCACACUGGAACUGAGACACGGUCCAGACUCCUACGGGAGGCAGCAGUAGGGAAUCCUCCGCAAUGGGCGAAAGCCUGACGGAGCAACGCCGCGUGAGUGAUGAAGGUCUUCGGAUCGUAAAACUCUGUUAUUAGGGAAGAACAUAUGUGUAAGUAACUGUGCACAUCUUGACGGUACCUAAUCAGAAAGCCACGGCUAACUACGUG
rnacentral:rRNA from 1 species